rnacentral:tRNA from 1 species
AGGGACUUAGGAUAACAUUAGACCCAGGACCUUCAAAGCCCUAAGCAGGAGUGAAAAUCUCCUAGUCCCUG